rnacentral:rRNA from 1 species
CUCAUAGCGUAUAUUAAUGUUGUUGCAGUUAAAAAGCUCGUAGUUGGAUUCCUGACCUGGGGUAGCCGGUCCGCCUUGCAAAAGGUGCGCACUGAGCGGCCUCGGUCAUCCUUGAGAAGAGCGGUCCUGGCAUUCAGUUGUCGGGGUCGGGAUUCUCGACGUUUACUGUGAAAAAAUCAGAGUGUUCAACGCAGGCUUACGCCUUGAAUACAUUAGCAUGGAAUAAUGAGAUAGGACCUUGGCGGUCUAUUUUGUUGGUUUGCACGCCGAGGUAAUGAUUAAAAGGGACGGUUGGGGUUCUUCGUAUUCAAUUGUCAGAGGUGAAAUUCUUGGAUUUAUGGAAGACGAACUGCUGCGAAAGCGUCGAACAAGGACGUUCUCAUUAAUCAAGAACGAAAGUUAGGGGAUCGAAGAUGAUUAGAUACCAUCGUAGUCUUAACCAUAAACUAUGUCGAUUCAGGAUUGGCGGUCGUUUGUUCUCGACUCCGUCAGCACUGUAUGAGAAAUCAAAAUCUUUGGGUUCCGGGGGGAGUAUGGUCGCAAGGCUGAAACUUAAAGGAAUUGACGGAAGGGCACCACCAGGAGUGGAGCCUGCGGCUUAAUUUGACUCAACACGGGGAAACUUACCAGGUCCAGACAUAGUAAG